rnacentral:rRNA from 1 species
UGCCUUAGUAACUGCGAGUGAAGCGGCAUCAGCUCAAAUUUGAAAUCUGACGCCUUCAGCGUUCGAGUUGUAAUUUGGAGAGACACCUUCGAGACGAAUGUUAUCCUAAGUUCCUUGGAACAGGACAUCACAGAGGGUGAGAAUCCCAUAUGUGGAUGGCGGUUUCGUCUCAUGUGAAGUGUCCUCAACGAGUCGAGUUGUUUGGGAAUGCAGCUCAAAAUGGGUGGUAAAUGUCAUCUAAAGCUAAAUAAUUGCGAGAGACCGAUAGCGCACAAGUAGAGUGAUCGAAAGAUGAAAAGCACUUUGAAAAGAGAGUUAAAAAGUACGUGAAAUUGUUGAAAGGGAAGCGCUUGAAACCAGAUUCAGUUUUCGGUGAUCAGCAGCUCUUCGGGGCUGUGCACUGGCCGUUUACUGGGACAGCACCGGUUCGGAUGGCUGGAUAAAGGCCUGGGGAAUGUGGCUCCCUUAGGGGAGUGUUAUAGUCUCAGGUGCAAUAUGGUCGAUCCGGACCGAGGACCGCGCUUCGGCUAGGAUGCUGUCAAAAUGGUUCCCAGCGACCCGUCUUGAAACACGGACCAAGGAGUCUAACAUCUAUGCGAGUGUUUGGGUGGAAAACCCUUGCGCACAAUGAAAGUGAACGUAGAUGGGAACCCUUUAUUGGGUGCACUAUCGACCGAUCCUGAUGUCUUCGGAUGGAUUUGAGUAGGAGCAUAGCUGUUGGGACCCGAAAGAUGGUGAACUAUGCCUGAAUAGGGUGAAGCCAGANGAAACUCUGGUGGAGGCUCGCAGCGGUUCUGACGUGCAAAUCGAUCGUCAAAUUUGGGUAUAGGGGCGAAAGACUAAUCGAACCAUCUAGUAGCUGGUUCCUGCCGA